AGAAUUUCACAUUUUUUAGCUGUUAAUUAUUUUCCAAUCGCAACGCAUGUGUGUGAGUUCUGGAGUAAAGAAAGUUCAUUUUAGGAUGGUCAACUGCCGACCUGACCGGUCAUUGAAUUGUGGUAAAUGACAAGAAAUAUUGGGGAAAAGGCAGCGCUUUGAAGGGAGCCAAAAGCCUGGACCAGAUUUUCCUGCAGCCCAGAAUCCGAAGGAGCCCCAAGAUCCUGGAUCCGGAUAAGUGUUGUUUCUCAUCAUUUUCAUUGACUAGAAACGUUUCUGUAGCAGACAUAAAACCGGCCAUUUUGUUUCCCCUGAGAAUUGUAUUUCCCCUGAGCAAAGUAGAGAACCUAGAAAGGACAGAGCUAUAUUUUACCUGGUUAAGAGGUUUGAAAGUAACAUCUGUUCAUUGGAGAAUUUGCAGCAGAGAUGCCAGAGUGCUAGUUUGUCUCAAAGUAGUAUCAGAGGUUUAGAGUGAAGUGAUGGAACCUAAACAUGAUUGACUUAAAAAAAAUUUCCCUACUAUUUCAACCUCCCCAAAGAGGGGUGUGUGAGUUGAGUGCAUAAGGUUUUAAAUUUAGGAAAAUUUAGAAGCAUUUGUAAUCGUGAGAAGUUUUGGAGUUCAUUUCAAUAUUGAAACUUAAGUUUGACUUUAAAUAUAGUUUUGAAGCUGAAGUUGCCAUGAAAGUCAUUCUAAUGUGGUUUUGGAUUUUUGGCCGAUAGAAUAUCUAGUUAGCAUAUUACUUGGUGGUAGACCAAUAUUAAUUUUUGGCCACAAACAGGAGGUGGGGCCACUCCCAGAUUUACAAAGUCCUGAGUAACCUGUGAUGUGGAUUCUGUUUCUGCUUUUAUACUUCUGUAGUUUGUAGGAUUUUAUAUUUAGGUAAAGUGAGGCAGUCUUUCUGACUAAGCAUGUAAAUGACCUAAUUUUAUGAUUUGUGUGGAAAAGACAUUGCUAGAAGAAAGAGAUGGGGUGGCAGAUUUAAGGUUAGCAGCGUGGAUAGUCUUUGUAGUGAGUAAGCAAAUAGGUCAAGUCCUGUUAAAGAACAUGUUAACGGAUUCCUCUUAGUUUUCUCUCUCUCUUGCAGCAGCAGCAGGGAAGCUGGCUGAUACCAAAGGAGGACAGAAGUCUGGGAGAGGAGGCUGAAGGCAUCAUCAGGAGCCACCAGAUGUGA
rnacentral:lncRNA from 1 species